CAGUCUUUGAUCUGCUUCUGAGGCAGAGGUAGUGACAAAGACAGAUGGCAAUUUGAAAUUGUUCCCUUGGUUGACUUUUGACAAAACUGUGACUGCAGAGAAGAUGAUUUGUGUGCUUUCUUCCCCUCACUUGAACACAAAAAUUACCAGCAAUCAGCAUCAUUCCACACAGACCUUCAGACAUUUUGUUUCAGAUGGGCAAACUGAGGAUGAACAAGGUUGAAGCCUUCAUAUAAGCAGCCUGAAUACUCUGACUUGCACAUUCUGGUCUGUAGGUUUAUUGGUAGAUAAUGCUGCCAUAAAACUCCAAGACAGCACAGAUAUUCUGCCAACCUAUUUGUAGUCCUAAUUCUGAGAAAUGCCCUGUAAGGAGUGAAUACUGACCUCACUAGAGGAAGAUAUGAACCUCAUCCCUAGUCUCAGUUUCCUCUGCAGACUUGUCCAGCAUCACUCUUGAUGUUUCCAAGGAAUGUAAACUUCGUGAAUACUGGUGUCAUUCUCCAGUGGAGAUUAAAAUGGCAUUUGUGAGGUCUGAUGUUCCAGAAGGCUGCCUCUGUAGUUUAGGAGUGCUAUAGCAGGAAGGAAACCAGCCUCCAAAAAAUACCACUGUAAGAAAAAAGCAAGGAAAAGCCCAAUCCUGGAAAACAAAACAGAACCAAAAGGUGUGGAAGGCUGGUGAAACAAUGAUUUGGAACUGAAUAAUAUUAUAUCAGUGCUGUAUGCUUUUAAUAAAUAGUUG